GUAUUACCAUCGCAAGUUUUCAGAAUUCAUGCCAUGUAAUAUAUAGAGUAAGAAGUUUCUUAUUUUGAGGUAAUGAUUUGUUGUGAAAUUAACCCUAGUAUCACUGGAUUAAUUACACCCCAAGAUCUAACUCAGACUCCAAGAUUUAAGAAUCAAACCUAAGCUAAUUGAAACAACCACCAGAUCAAAGAAACACAACUCAAAGAAUCAAGAAUACACAAAGACUUAAGUGGUUCAGCACCUUUGAGGGUGGCUACAUCCACUGGAGAAAACAACUCAUGGAGCAACUUUAUUAAGCUUAAAGUUUAGAGAGAUGAUAACUAGCAAUACAGAGAACAAUCAGCAAAACUUACUUCUCACUACAGCUUCCUUAUCAUUCUCUCCUCGAUGCAUCCAGACUACACCAGAACCAGCAUAUAUAUAUAUUAGUUGUUGCUGGCGUUACACAUCCAAAAGAUUCCCUCCAAAAUCAACAGCCUUAACUAACUGAUCACGAGCUUCUCACGCGCAAAUUAAAGCCUCUCUUAAACGACAACAAGCCAUGUCGUUUAAGCUUAGAAUAGGCGUGUGUUAACCACGUGAGAGUUUAAUGGUUUUGGACGACCUCACCAAGUUGUCAAUUCUAGAAUCUUGAUCAACUGAAAUGACAUGUCACUCAUCUUUGCAACUUUAAUACGACAAGUUGUUCACAUGAGUUUGAGUUCAUUUCAACAAUCUCCACUCUAAACUCAACACUCAUAGCUCCCUCCUUUCUCAUUGUCCUCUCCCCAUCUGCUGCUUCUUAAAACCUACAGAUUCCUGCUAAGUUCGUGUAAAGGAAGAACUUGGCAGUGGACACAAUCUUGGUUAACAUGUUAGCUGGAUUUUAUUCAGUAUAAAUCUUCAGCAACUUCAUAGUCCCUCUUGAUACCUCAAGCCUUCCAAAAUGCAACUUAACAUUUAUAUGUUUUGUCUUCUCGUGAUGAGAUUGAUUCUUGCUAAGAUGUAUAGCACUCUAGUUGUCACUGUAUACUGUUACAGUCUCUUGCUUAGCUCUCAACUCAGUUGUCAUGCCUUUCAGCCAAAUUGCUUCUUUGAAAGCUUCAGUUGCUGCAGUAUACUUUGCCUCUGUAGUGGACAAAGCCACUAUAUUCUGUAAUGUUGCUUUCCAACUAACUGUGUAGCUCCCCAGAGUAAACAAAUACCCUGUCUGUGACCUUCUUUUAUCAAGAUCACCAGUAAAGUCAGCAUCUACAUAACCAAUUAGUGUGUGUCCAUUUUUAUCUUCUCCACCAUAAACCAAACCAACCUCUAUAGUCCCCUUAGGUACCUCAUAAUCCACUGAAUAGCUCUCUAGUGUUCAUAGCUUGGAUUUGCCAUAAACCUGGUCACCAAACUCACAACAUGUGAGAUAUCAGGUCUGGUGAGUACCAUGGUGUACAUAAGGCUACCUACUGCACUUGAAUAGGGUAUACAUGCCAUUUUCUAUUGUUCUGCAUCAGUUUGAUUGCACUGAGCAGCAUACAACUUGAAAUUGUUUGCCGAUGGUGUCUGCACUUACUUAGCAUCAUUCAUUCCAAACCUCAUCAGAACUUUCUAAAUGUAGCUUUGUUGAGUUAAGAACAAAAUCUUCUUGCUCCUGUUCUUGAUAAUAUCCAUCCCUAGAAUUCUCUUAGCUUCCCCAAGUUCCUUUAUUUCAAAUUUCCAAUUAGCAUGCCAUCUACAUACAGCAGGAGAUAUAUCAUUCCCCCUCCACUUAUCUCUUUGAAGCAUACACAGUGUUGAGUGUUAGAAAAUGCAUAUUUAUAAAGGAGAAAACCGUCAUUUUACAUUUCAAGUCUUACUAACAACCCUUACUUUUAUGUAUUUAACAUUCUUGUGAUUUAAUUACGUGUGUUUUAUUUUAAUUAAGUAAUUUAUGUAUUUUAGGGGCAUUAUAGUCAUUUAACAAUAAAGGAGAGAUCAGACGGCAAAACGGACAUCACUUUUGAACUCAGGACGGUCGAAAACCUUAAGAGGAGCAUAAAAGGAAAAAUGACACUAUUCACAUGUACGGUACUAUUCACGUAUACGGGACUGUAUACGUUAUUGUUCACGGCACUGUUCACAUAGACGGAUCGAUGACGUGGCAUUGACCGAUGAUGUGGCAUUGACUGAUGAGGUGUCACGAUCCUGUUAGACUAAAAUUCUUAUGUACUGUUGAUGGUGACGUGGCAGCAUAUCAGUGGACGAAAAAUCUCGCGUACGGUGCAUGCAUCACACAGGAUUAUUUUCAACCAAACCGCGUUACUGUUCAUCCGGGUCAAACCGCGUUACUAUUCAAAGUCGGGUCAAACCGUGUUACUGUUCAUCCGCGUGGUCAAACCGUGGACUGUUGGCUAAUGACGUGGCGCAAUCCUGAGCGUCCAAACUGUUUUUAAUCCGAUGGCCAUGAUUUACUCCAUGUAUCUAUAAAAAGGGGGCCCCUCCCCCCUAAUUUGAUAUCUCUGAAUCCAUUUUUGGGAUCCAUUUUCUGUAAUUCCCUCUCCAUCUUGUAUUUUCUUCGUAUUUUAAUAAAUUCCCAUUUUGCCCCUAGUUCAACUAUGAGUGGCUAAUUUUCUUUCAAGCUUGGGUUGAAGGUGAAGUCUCAACAUGUGUCAUGGGCUUAAUUUGGUAAAUUUAUUUUCUCUUCCCCUCUAGUUUUUGUGGAUGUUUUGACUUCUCGUCGACAAAUAAUACUAAUCUUGUCUAGUACCGCCUUGGUUACACCGGCCCUCUAGUACAAGGUUAUUAUUAUUUGGCACGAUAAGCCCUUAGCACCAUAUUGAUUAGAGCGUGGUUCAUGAGGUUUGGAUUCCCCCCUCAUGAUUUAAUUGGCAUUAAUACGGAUUAUUUAGCCCAUGAUGCAUGUUGAUACGGAUCCAGAUACCCAAGUACGUCAUUUCAAUAGAAUUCUCUUCAAUUUAUUCUCACCAUUUCAAUACCAAUUUUAGAAUUUAUUCUCUCCAUUUUAAUUUAAGUUUUAGCAUAUUCCAAUCAUUUCCACCACAAAUCCAAUCACCCAUUCACAAAAUUAAUUCUACACAAUUAAAAUCCACCUCCUCGUGGGAUCGACACUCGUCACCAUUAAUCUAUACUACAACAGAUUCGUGCGCUUGCGAGUACAUUAAAAUUUGCACAACAAGUUUUUGGCGCCGUUGCCGGGGAGGUAAGUAAUUUUAAUUCAUAGAAUUAAAUUUUUUUUAAUAAUUUCUUUUAUUUGUUUUCUUGUAUUUUUUUUAUUAUUAAAAAAAAAUAAUAAAUCUACAUUUAAAGAUUAGUAUUUCUUUUCUUUUUCUCUUCCUUAAAAUUCUGUAAUUUAAUUUUCAAUUUAUUUUUCUUUGUAAUUUUUUUUUUGUUUAUCUUAUUAAUUUAUUUUUAGUUAAUUUAUUUCACGUAUUUGUUUUUGUGUAUUUUUAUAGAAAAGUUUUAAUAGCGCAAUAAGGUUAGUAUCGUAAUUUCUCCCUCUUCUUUAUUUUUAUUUGUUUUGUUCCCAUCUUUAUUUUCAUUUUAUCUGUUUUGCAUGCAUGGUCGUAGGUCAUUAUUACCUAAUCUUGAACCUAUAAACCUUGAAUUAGAAAAAACACUUCGCACACAAAAGCACAUUAAAAAUAAAUUUGAAAUGGAUUUGCAACCACAAGAGAGGCCAUUUAAGGACUACUUCAGUCCCUUAGCUAAUUUGAGCACAUCAUGCAUAAAAUACCCAAAUGUAGCUGCUAGGAGCUUUGAACUAAAACCUAGUGUGCUAAAUUGUCUCCCCACAUUCUAUGGCUUAGAAAAUGAGGACCCAUAUAAUCAUCUGAAUGAUUUUCAUGCUAUUUGUCAAACUUUUAAAUACGAGAAUUUUUCAGACGAUGAUGUUAAACUCAGAUUAUUCCCAUUUUCUUUAAAGGAUAGAGCUCGUUCAUGGCUUAAUACAUUGCCUGCUAAUAGCAUUGCAUCAUGGGAACAAAUGAUAACUAAAUUUUUGAAUAAAUAUUUCCCAGUGCAUAAAACCAAUACUAUUCGCAGGGAAAUCUCGGAGUUUACCCAGAGAGAGGACGAGCAAUUUUUUGAAACAUGGGAGCGAUUCAAUGGGCUACUCUUGAAGUGUCCACAUCAUGGGUACGAGAAAUGGCACCAAUGCCAAUACUUUUUGGAGGGAUUACUACCAAAUGUGCAAGAAUGGCUAAUGGCGACAAGUGGAGGAGAGCUAAUGUCAAAAAGUGCAUCCGAGAUUUGGGAAUUCUUUCAGCGACAAGCGGAUAAUUCCCAACAACGGAGUCGAUCACUCAGGAAUACUAGAAGAAUUAAAGGAGUAAAUGAGGUUCAAAUUGGCGAGUCAACUUCGGGAAUCAAAGAAGUCAAGGAGAUGGUUGAAGGUCUUGCUCGACAAAUAGCAUCGUUAUCGACUGCUAAAUCAACAGAACCACAUGACCAUGACUCAUACUCAGAUCAAGCCAAUGCCAUAGGUGUAAUGAGAAAGCCAUCAAAUUACAACCCAUACUCCAACACAUAUAACCCUGGAUGGAGAGACCACCCCAAUUUUUCAUGGUCUCAAGGACUCCAACAGAAUGGACCAGCAGCUCCAGCUCCACCAAUGCAACCAAUUCCUCAAAUUUCUCAAGCCUCUCAGCCACCAUUUAGACCAUACAAUCAGAACCAGAAUUACUUUCAGCCCAGACCAUGGGAGGAUUCAUUCCAGAAUCUUAAGAAUCUUACUCACUCCACGAUUGAGCAACAGAACUGCACCAUUGAUGGACUACGAAAUGAGUUGAGAGCAGGCUUCAACUCACAAGCUCAAUCAAUUUCAAGCCUCGAGAAGAUGGUGGGACAACUUGCUUCUUCAGUUCAGACCUUGGCAAUGACUGUUGAGAAAGGCAAGUUUCCAAGUCAACCAGUACCUAAUCCUAAAGGAGUGCAUGAAGCAAGUACCAGUUCACCACAGCAGCAUGGAGAGGUCAAAGCAGUAAUGACCUUGCGAAAAGGAAAAGAAGUCGACAACAAAGUGGAGAUGCCGGUGACAAAAGAAAAUCAAAUUGUUCCUGUGAGUGUUGAGGACUCAUCACCGGAGGAGAAAGAAGAAACCAACCCACGAGAAUACGUUCCCAAAGCUCCAUUCCCCCAGAGGUUAGCUAAAGGCAAGAAGGGAAAAUCCACAGGUGAGAUUCUUGAAAUCUUCAAACAGGUAAGUGUUAACAUCCCCUUACUUGAUGCUAUUAAACAAGUUCCAUCUUAUGCCAAGUUUCUUAAAGACCUUUGUACUAAAAAGAGAAAUAUGCAUGUUCAAAAGAAGGCAUUUUUAACUGAAAACGUUAGCUCUAUACUCCAAUAUAAAAUUCCUUUAAAAUGCAAAGACCCAGGCUCCCCCACUAUCUCAUGUAGUAUAGGGAACCACACAAUUGAGAAUGCUUUAUUGGAUUUAGGAGCUAGUGUAAAUUUGUUGCCUUAUUCAGUAUUUGUGAAACUUGGACUGGGAGAAUUACACCCAACUCCAGUGGUGUUACAGCUUGCAGAUCGGUCUACGAAAAUACCUCGUGGUAUUGUGGAGGACGUGCUUAUCCAGGUAGACAAGUUUUAUUUUCCUGUUGAUUUUAUUGUAAUUGACACUCAACCAAUACAGGAUUCAAGGAAGCACAUCCCCAUUAUUCUAGGCCGACCUUUCUUGGCAACUGCGGAUGCUCACAUUCAAUGCAAGACUGGAAAUAUGCAGUUGUCCUUCGGCAACAUGACUAUGGAGCUAAACAUUUUCAACAUUGCCAAACAACCUCACAAUGCAGAUGAUGAAAUUGUUGAUGUGGAUUUAAUAGAAGCAUUAGUUGAUGAUACUUUUGUUUCAAACCUUAGUGAUGAUCCUUUACAAACAUGUUUAACUCACUUUGGUUUGAAUUUUGAUAUUGACAGAUCGGUCGAUGAGGUCAACGCUCUACUUGACUCAGCACCAUCUAUGGACACUAAUAAAUGGAAGUCAAAAGUUGAACAACUAGCACCAUCAGAGAAGAAACUCAUCCCAUCAUCAGAAUCACCACCGAAACUCGAGCUCAAACCAUUGCCCAACACUUUGGAAUAUGCAUUUUUGGGAGAAGAAAGUACUCUACCGGUAAUCAUCUCAGCAUCCCUCAAUGAUGAACAAAAAGGUAAGUUGUUGGAUGUUUUGAAAGAGCACAAAGGGGCAUUAGGAUGGACCAUAGCAGACAUUAAAGGUAUAAACCCAGUAGACUGCAUGCAUUACAUUCACCUUGAUGAAAAUGCUAAAACUACUAGGGAGAUGCAACGUCGGUUAAAUCCUAACAUGAAAGAAGUUGUUAGAACAGAAGUCCUUAAGCUAUUAGACGCAGGUAUCAUUUACCCCAUUUCUGAUAGUUCAUGGGUCAGUCCUGUACAAGUUGUCCCCAAAAAGUCAGGAGUCACAGUAGUUACGAAUGCUGAUAAUGAAUUGAUACCCACUAGAGUAACUACAGGAUGGCGUGUAUGCAUUGAUUAUAGAAAGUUGAAUUCUGUCACACGUAAAGACUAUUUUCCUUUACCAUUUAUCGAUCAAAUGCUUGAUAGAUUAGCAGGCCAUGAAUUUUAUUGCUUUCUAGAUGGCUACUCAGGAUAUAAUCAGAUUCCCAUAGCACCAAAAGAUCAAGAGAAAACUACUUUCACUUGCCCUUUUGGCACAUUUGCAUAUAGGAGAAUGCCAUUUGGAUUAUGUAAUGCACCUGCUACAUUUCAAUGAUGCAUGUUAAGCAUUUUUUCUGAUAUGGUUGAACGAUUCCUUGAAGUCUUUAUGGAUGACUUUUCUGUCUUUGGUGAUUCAUUUGAUCAAUGUUUACAUCAUCUAACACUAGUUCUGCAGAGAUGUAUCGAGAAGAACUUGGUCUUAAAUUGGGAGAAAUGCCAUUUUAUGGUAAAACAAGGUAUUGUUCUCGGUCACAUCAUUUCGAGCAAAGGUAUUGAGGUUGACAAAGCCAAGGUGGAUCUCAUUUCUAAUCUUCCUCCACCCAAAACAGUCAGAGAAGUAAGAUCUUUCCUUGGGCAUGCUGGUUUCUAUAGACGUUUCAUUAAAGAUUUUAGCAAAGUUUCUAGACCCUUAUGCAAUUUACUUGCUAAGGAUGCACCUUUUGUCUUUAAUGAUUCAUGUCUUGUGGCAUUUGAAAAAUUAAAGCAUUUGUUGACAUCAUCACCCAUCAUUCAGCCCCCAAACUGGAGCUUACCAUUUGAGCUCAUGUGUGAUGCAUCUGACUAUGCAGUAGGAGCAGUAUUAGGACAAAGAGUUGAUCGAAUUCCCCACGUUAUUUACUAUGCUAGUAUGACAUUAAAUGAUGCACAGUUGAACUAUUCAACUACUGAAAAAGAAAUGCUAGCAGUAGUGUUUGCAUUGGAAAAAUUUCGAUCAUAUCUCAUUGGUUGUAAAAUAAUCGUGUUCACAGAUCAUGCUGCUCUUAAAUAUCUUCUCACAAAGAAAGAUGCAAAAGCUAGACUAAUUCGUUGGGUGUUACUUUUGCAGGAAUUUGACUUGGAAUUCAAAGAUAAGAAAGGGACAGAAAAUGUUGUGGCGGACCAUCUCUCUCGUCUCCAUUUUGACACAAUUAUAGAACAAUUACCAUUAAAUGAGUCAUUUCCAGAUGAACAAUUAAUGAGUGUGGAAGUAUUACCUUGGUAUGCUGAUAUAGUUAAUUAUCUUGUUACAGGUAAACUUCCAGAGCAUUGGACCAAGCAAGACAAGGCUAAAUUCUUUGCAGAAAUAAAGAAUUUCUUUUGGGAUGACCCGUAUUUGUUCAAGUAUUGUGCUGAUCAAAUUGUUAGACGAUGUGUCCCAGAAAAUGAAAUUCAGAAUAUUCUUUCAUUCUGCCAUGAACAAGCUUGUGGAGGCCAUUUCAGUGCUAAGAAAACAGCAACUAAAGUUUUACAAUGUGGUUUCUAUUGGCCAUCUAUAUUUCGAGACGCUUACACUUUCUGUUCUUCAUGUGAUAGGUGUCAACGAAUGGGAAGCAUUACACGAAGGAACAUGAUGCCACUAAAUCCAAUUUUAGUGGUUGAGAUUUUUGACGUAUGGGGUAUCGACUUCAUGGGACCCUUUCCCCCGUCUUUUGGUCAUCAAUACAUAUUGGUUGCUGUUGACUAUGUAUCAAAAUGGGUAGAAGCUAUUCCAUGUAGGACCAAUGAUCACAAGGUGGUGAUAGGAUUUUUGAAAAGCAACAUUGUCUCGCGCUUUGGAUUCCCUCGAGCAAUAAUCAGUGAUGGUGGUGCCCACUUUUGUAACAAAGUAUUCAAAGCUCUUUUGACAAAGUAUUCAAUCACACACAAAGUGGCGACCCCGUAUCAUCCGCAAACCAGUGGCCAAGUUGAGAUCUCCAAUCGAGAAAUAAAGCACAUAUUAGAAAAAACGGUGAGGCCAGACAGGAAAGAUUGGUCAUUAAGACUUGAUGAUGCAUUAUGGGCAUAUAGAACGGCUUUCAAGACCCCGAUUGGGAUGUCACCCUACAGGCUAGUGUAUGGAAAAGCUUGCCACCUACCUGUGGAACUCGAGCAUCGUGCGUAUUGGGCCAUCAAGAAAUUCAAUUUUGACAUGCAGCAAGCCAGCUCAGAAAGAAGAUUACAGCUGGCAGAACUUGAAGAAAUUCGCAAUGAUGCAUACGAAAAUGCCAAGAUUUACAAGCAACGAAUGAAAGUCUUCCAUGAUAAGCAAAUUAUGAGAAAAUCGUUCACUCCAGGUCAGAAAGUGUUUUUAUUCAAUUCUCGCUUGCACAUAUUCCCAGGUAAGUUACGCUCUCGUUGGUCUGGUCCCUUUAUUGUUCAUACUGUUUUUCCACAUGGGGCAAUUGAAAUUAUGGACCCAAAGAACGGUGUCACGUUUAAAGUUAAUGGUCAAAGAUUAAAGCCAUAUCUAGAGUACCAACCACAUGACGAAGACACCGAAAUAAAUUUGAGUGACCCACCAAAUUUGAAUUGAUUUUUCUUUCUUUCUUUUCGUUGAUUUGAUUUUUCUUUCUUUCUUUUUAUUAUUAUUCUUUUGCUAAUUGAAAUUUUUUUUGCAUAAGUGUGUUUAUUUUACCAUUAAGUUUUCUCUUAUCAUUUUUAAUCAUGAGUCUCAUACUUAGACCGUUCCUCCUGAACAUUCUUAAACCACUUCAACGUGUCAAAACUCAUCUCAAAAGGCAGAUUCAAUUUUGUAAAACACAACGCAUUUGGGCUCUACAACCACCAGAGUUAGUAGCCUAUGUUGAGGGUUUAGAACGCCAACUCAGAGACAUUGAGAGAAGUGUUUACGACAUCCAGUUGGAGCUUGAGGUAAAUUCAAUAAGAGGACGAUUUUAAUUUUCUUUGUGUGUUUUAAUUUGUUUUUCUGUUUGUGUGCUUUAGUUUGUUACCCCGGUGAAGUGGCGGAUAACGGUACUCCGUGACAAUCAAGUCGGUUACUUCAGUUUCCCAUAAUAACUGAUAUUCUGAGGCGAAGGUAUGGACAGAAAUGAGAUUCUAGCAAAGCUUCACAAGCGAUUCCCUUCACUUCCUCAGAAUGCCCUCCUUACGAUCUAUAAAGCUCGGUCCGAACGCAUGCGAUUGCUCAUGAGGAAUAACAUACCUGCUGAUAUCCGUUGGUUAAUUGAGGCGAAAGUACGAUCGACAGGUGAGUUACCUCCAAAAUUUAUUGCAUUUAUGCCUGGUUGUGGUAGAGGAAAUUAUGCAAGAAAACGACGAGCUCGAAGAAUUUCUGUUGCUUGUCAUAAGUGUGCCAGAAUGAGUUGCAAUAAAAACCCAUGUUCUUUAGGAAUGGUGUCUGACAACAGGGAAGAUAAGAUUCAAUUCAUUAGGGAUGGCUUGAAUAAGGAGUCAUUGGAUGAUAUCCUUUUGUCUCUUGAAACGCAUCCCAGUGGAUAUGUGCAAGGAGCGAUUCUCCAGUUAUGGCCAUUAUUCCAGAAAGAGCAUGCACGAUAUAGUCUCGGGAAUCUGACUAUAAACGACCCUAUUUGCCAGUUUAUAAGAAAACUGGAUAGGAAGCCUAUCCUCGACCCAUAGAGGGCGUUCAAGCCGUUUCUGGACGUAAAAUCAGAGGAAGAUGUGAGCCACAGUCGCAACUACCUGUAAAUAUCCUUUUACUUUAUUGUUAUUUUAUUUCACUAUUGUCUUAUUGUCUGCAUUAUUGUCUUUAAUAAUUUUAUUACUGUUUGCUUUUUUCUUUUUACUGUUUUCUUUUUGACUUGCGAGCCACGUGCUUUACGCGUUAUUUGACACUGACAUAUUACCUCAUACACAACCAUGACCCACUAUCACCAAGACUCUUAAAUGUGAUUUCUUUUUUGUCAAGCACUCACAAAUUGUUUUCGAGAAGUAUCACAAUGGCAGCUACUCCCAAUAGACAAUUCAAGAACAUUUGUGUGCUUUCUGGAUUUACCUAUGGCAAACAUAAAGAGUUCGUUGAGGCAGCCAUAGAUCUUGGUCGAAGCAUAGCAGCGAGAAAAUUACACUUGGUGUAUGGAGGAGGUAAUCGAGGGUUAUCAAAAAUGGUCUCAGAAGCAGCUUUUAUCAGAGGAAGUCAAGUGUUAGGCAUCAUCCCAAGAGUCCUAAAACCAUUGAGCAGUUCGUCUGACUCAUCAACUGGAGAAGAGUUAGUCGUCUCAGGUAUGCAAGAAAGAAUAACUGAAAUGCUUAAUUAUGCUGAUGCUUUUAUUUUCCUUCCAGGAGAUCUUGCAACACUAGAAGCACUUAUGACACUAGCAUCUUGGGCCCAUCUACACAUUCACCAGAAACCCAUCGGUUUGUUAAAUGUCAAUAACUUUUAUGAUGGCUUUAUCGCAUUUCUUAACCAUGCAAUAAAAAACUAUUUCAUUCCUUCUAAUGUGAAAAAACUCUUUAUUUGUGCUCACUCUGCUACUGAGCUACUUGAUGUGUUACAAGCUUAUAAACCGGAGCCAGACCCCUGGACCUUUGUGUUGGAGCGACCAAAUAAUGAUGGUAACAGUAGCCGCAGUAAGAAGUACAAAUUAGAUUUAACUCUCCGCCUGUAAAUAUUUUCUUCUGUGUUGCACCACCCAGGUGAUGUCUUCUAAACUCUACUUCUUUCAUUUCAAACAUUGAGGACAAUGUUUCGUUCUGGUUGGGGGGAGGGAAUAGUCGACAAUUGUGGAAUUUUGGUUAAGUUUUUACUAAUUUUUUGUUGUAGAAACUAACUGUUGCUAACUUUUUGUGUUGAAGAUGGCUGAAUAUGGAGUGUAGUUACUCUAGAAACGCAUCUUCAUUGUUUGAAAAAAAAAAUUCAAAAAAAAUUCAAAAAAAAAAUUAGACAUUUUCUUUUUCUUUAUUAAGUUUUGAUGUUUAUUUUUCUUCUUUUUAAUUUCUCCUCUAUGAAUAUACAUUUUCCAACUUUUGAGUCGAAGAUGGCUGAAUAUGGAGUGUAGUGCCUCUAGAAACGCAUCUUCUUAGUAAAAAAAAAAAAAAAACCAAUUUUCGUUUUCUAUUAUUUUAAGUGUAACUUUUCUAAUUAGUUUUUAUGCAUCAUUUUCAUAUCUCUGCAUACAUAUUUUCCUUUCAUGUUUAGAAUAGGUUGGGGGGGAGAAUGUUGUUUAAAAAAAAAAAUUAUGUGAUUUGUUUUAACAUUAGAUGACAUGAUUAAUUUCAAAUUUUAGUAUUUGUAUUAUCUUUGGUCUUAAGUGAUGUUACAUUAUGUUUGCUACUCUACAUGUUGAUGUCGGAGACAAAUAUGCGUUGCUUGAAGGAAUGAACAUGUCAUAAUAAGUACCAAGUGAGUUUUUGAGCCUAUCAUUUUUCUUGGAGAGUAACCCUUUUGCCCAUUCUUUAUACAGCUUAACAGUUUAUUAUUGUAUACACGAUCUCUAGAUUUCUUUUGAGUUAACCCUUAAUAAAAAAAAAAGAAAAAAAAAAGUGUGUUGCUACAUUUGGAGGCCCAUCUAACUAAUAGAUAUGGAAGGUUAUUUAGAGCCCUAAAAGACGAUGGAAAGGCCAUCUUUGAUCCGUUUGAGCCUUUCUAGCCAUCCCUUUUAUUAAAUAUCCAUAGUUAACCCUUUUGAGCCUUUAAAAAAAAAAAACAUUUUCUUUGUCAACUUAUUAUCUUGACCCACUCCGAUUUAGAGUAUUAUCCGAUAUCUUAUAAGUUCCAUCACCUAUUUAUGUUUGAGAAAAUGUAAAUAAUUAUGUUGUUCAGUGAAGUUAUACAAAAAAAAAAAACAACAAAACAAAAGUUGUUGUUUCAAAAGAAUAAAAAUAACAAUAAUAGGUGAAAUCCACCUUGCAACUUCCAAAAAAUAAAAAAAUUCUUUGCAUUUUUCUCAAACAUACACUUUGUUUUCCUUAUUUCCUUUCUUUGUUAACCAUGUCCCUAGCCUACGUUACAUCCUAAUAAAAGUCCUUCCUGAUUUUAGGGAACUAUAAUCUGAAGUAGAAGCUAGUUAUAUGGGCUAAAAAGAUGUAGUGGUGCAUAUAAAAAAAUAAAUAAAUAAAUUGGGUUGACUAACAGUUUUUAUUUGACUUGAGAUCGUAUUAUUUUUAAGCUGAGGGCAUAUUUAUUUCAUCUUGGUGAGAGCAUGUGAUAUCACUUCUUCAUUAUUUUCUCUCAAUUAUCAUUCAUUGGAGUGACUAUUUUUAUUGGGUUUAAUUUAUUUGUAAGAGUGUCACUACUUCCAGGAGAUUUUGGGGUUUGACAUGUCAUUCUUGAAAGUAGCUAUAACAAAGUCUACUGGGCUGAUUCAUGUGGAUGGUUGAUGUGGGUGUGAUGUUGCUUUAGACUGGAGAUAAUGCUUACACUUUUAUUUGAUUGCUAUCAUUAAUCUGAUUGAAUAAACACAAGUGUUUCUAAAAAAAAAAAAAAAAAUCAUUUUGAAUUUGAAUUUUGUUUUCGCUUUAUUUGCUAGGGACUAGCAAUAAGCUGGUUGGGGGGUGUGUUGAGUGUUAGAAAAUGCAUAUUUAUAAAGGAGAAAACCGUCAUUUUACAUUUCAAGUCUUACUAACAACCCUUACUUUUAUGUAUUUAACAUUCUUGUGAUUUAAUUACGUGUGUUUUAUUUUAAUUAAGUAAUUUAUGUAUUUUAGGGGCAUUAUAGUCAUUUCACAAUAAAGGAGAGAUCAGACGGCAAAACGGACAUCACUUUUGAACUCAGGACGGUUGAAAACCUUAGGAGGAGCAUAAAAGGAAAAAUGAUACUAUUCACAUGUACGGUACUAUUCACGUAUACGGGACUGUAUACGUUACUGUUCACGGCACUGUUCACAUAGAUGGAUCGAUGACGUGGCAUUGACCGAUGAUGUGGCAUUGACUGAUGAGGUGUCACGAUCCUGUUGGACUAAAAUUCUUAUGUACUGUUGAUGGUGACGUGGCAGCAUAUCAGUGGACGAAAAAUCUCGCGUACGGUGCAUGCAUCACACAGGAUUAUUUUCAACCAAACCGCGUUACUAUUCAAAGUCGGGUCAAACCGUGUUACUGUUCAUCCGCGUGGUCAAACCGUGGACUGUUGACUAAUGACGUGGCGCAAUCCUGAGCGUCCAAACUGUUUUUAAUCCGAUGGCCAUGAUUUACUCCAUGUAUCUAUAAAAAGGGGGCCCCUCCCCCCUAAUUUGAUAUCUCUGAAUCCAUUUUUGGGAUCCAUUUUCUGUAAUUCCCUCUCCAUCUUGUAUUUUCUUCGUAUUUUAAUAAAUUCCCAUUUUGCCCCUAGUUCAACUAUGAGUGGCUAAUUUUCUUUCAAGCUUGGGUUGAAGGUGAAGUCUCAACAUGUGUCAUGGGCUUAAUUUGGUAAAUUUAUUUUCUCUUCCCCUCUAGUUUUUGUGGAUGUUUUGACUUCUCGUCGACAAAUAAUACUAAUCUUGUCUAGUACCGCCUUGGUUUCACCGGCCCUCUAGUAUAAGGUUAUUAUUAUUUGGCACGAUAAGCCCUUAGCACCAUAUUGAUUAGAGCGUGGUUCAUGAGGUGUGAAUUCCCCCCUCAUGAUUUAAUUGGCAUUAAUAAGGAAUAUUUAGCCCAUGAUGCAUGUCGAUACGGAUCCAGAUACCCAAGUACGUCAUUUCAAUAGAAUUCUCUUCAAUUUAUUCUCACCAUUUCAAUACCAAUUUUAGAAUUUAUUCUCUCCAUUUUAAUUUAAGUUUUAGCAUAUUCCAAUCAUUUCCACCACAAAUCCAAUCACCCAUUCACAAAAUUAAUUCUACACAAUUAAAAUCCACCUCCUCGUGGCAUCGACACUCGUCACCAUUAAUCUAUACUACAACAGAUUCGUGCGCUUGCGAGUACAUUAAAAUUUGCACAACACACAGCAAUCAUAGCUACACCUGUUAAAGGCGUGUGUUAUCAUGAAGUUAUCAAACCUUAGAUACCAUUGCCUUGGUGAUUGCUUUAACCCAUAUGGAUACUUUUUAAGUAAACAAACAAGAUCUUCUUUACCAGAUGCCACAUCCCCUUCUGGCUGCUGUAUUACAAUUUCCUCUUAUAAUUCACCAUGCAGGAAAGCUGUUUUUACAUCCAUCUGCUCAAGAUGCAUAUCCUGAACAGCCACAAGUGCAAGAAUAAUUCUGAUGGAAGCAUGUCUCACUACAAGGGAAAAUACUUCAGUGAAGUCAAUUCCUUCCUUUUGUGUGAAACCUCUUGCCACCAGUCUAGCCUUAAAUCUUCUAGGCUCAGUUCCAAGUAUCCUUUCUUUUAUCUUGACGAUCCAUUUACAGCUUACUGUCUUCCUCAUAACUGGUUUUUCGAUCAAUUCCUAGAUUUUUUUUUUUAUCAGGGAUGCUAUCUCUUCAUCCAUUUCCCUCUUCCAUUCCAGCUUGUUUUUACAUGUGAUAGCUUCCUGAUAAGUCCUAGGUUCAUCAUUAUUCAGCUCUUGAGCAACAGUCAAAACAUAUGCAAUUAGAUCAGCCACUGCAUAUCUUUUAGGUGGUCUUAUAGUCCUUUUCUUUCUGUCUCUUGCUAAUUGAUAGGUGUCCUCUUCACUUUCUGCUGAUUCAUGUUCAACACCAGCUUCAGGUUCUAUUUCAAGACCCUCAAUUUCUGAGUCAAGUUCUUUCAAGUUGUGAGGCUCCACCUGAAACUUCACUUUAUCAAACUCAGCACCUGAUUCAGAGUUGUUAACAUGACUCUUUGGUCUAUUCAAAAUCUCAUCUUCAUGGAAGGUUACAUCUCUGCUUAAAAUGCAUUGUGGUGGGUUUGAGUCAAUACACCACAAUCUAUAGCCUUUGACACCCUCUGGAUACCCCAGAAACCUUCAUUUUAAUGCUCUUGGUUCCAGCUUACCCUACUUUACAUGAGCAUAUGCUAUGCAGCCAAAGAUUCUGAGUUUUGAAUAAUCAGCUAUUCUUCCUGACCACAGUUCCAUUGGUGUUUUGCAUCCUAUGGCAGUUGAUGGGCUCCUGUUGACUAGAUAGCAUGCUGUGUUUAAAGCUUCUACCCAAAGAGUUUUUGGGAGCUUAAAAUAGAUCAACAUGCACCUUACCUUCUCUAUCAAAGUUCUAUUCAUCCUCUCAGUAAGACCAUUUUGUUGAGGGGUAUAAGUGACAGUUUUGUGCCUCUGAAUCCUAUUCUUCUCACAGAAGUCUUCAAACAACUUAUUGCAGUACUCCAAGCCAUUAUCUGUCCUCAGAGUUUUCACCUUCAAACCAGUUUGGUUUUCAACUAAAAUCUUCCACCUUUUGAAUUUUUCAAGAACCUUAUCCUUACUUUUGAGUGCAAAGAUCCAAACUAUCCUUGAAAAAUCAUUUAUAAAAGUCAGAAAGUAUUUACACCCACCUAAUAAAGUCAUUUGUGCAGGCCCCCACAAAUCAGAGUGUAUGUAUCCGAGUAUCUCUUUGGUGGUAUGAGUUGUAAUCUCAAACCUUGGCCUGGAAGACUUUCCUAAAAUAUAAUCUUUACUGAACCCCAAAGUUACUAUAUGAUCUUUCCCAAACACUCAUUGUUUUUGUAGCUCUCUCAGGCUUCUUUCACUCAUAUGCCCCAUCCUCAAAUGCCACAGCAUUGAUUUGUUCCCUUUACUGUCAAUUACACUUGCCUCUCCAACAGCAGUAUGUCUAUCCAACACAAACAUGCCAUUUUCUUUUAUACCUUUCUUAAUCACCAUUGAGCCUUUAAUUACCUUCAAUACCCCUUUUUCAGCCUUAAUCACACAACCUGUUUAAUCUAGCAUGCCAAUUGAGAUUAAAUUCCUUUUUAAAUCAGGAACAAACAUAACCUGUGUUAAUUCCCUUACCAUACCAUCAAACAUUCUAAGGCUAACAAUCCAAAUACCAACCACUUUACACAUUGAGUUAUUACCCAUUAAAACCAUACCCCUAUCACACGACUGAUAUGAAGUAAAAUAACUUAUAUUUGGACACAUAUGGAAGGUACAACUUGAGUCAAGGACCCACUAACCUUGAGGUUUUUAAUUUGUGGCAAUGAGCACUCCAGCUGUUUCAAAGCUUACUUCUUCUUCUGUGGCUAUAGCUGCAUUUCCUGUCUUUUCCUUGGUUUCUUUAUUCUUGUUCUUUCUUUCAGGGCAAUCUCUUUUGAAAUAUUCUUCUUUAUGGUAAUGAAGAUACUUCAAAUUCUUCUGUUUAGACUUUGAUCUGCCUUGUUUCUUUCCCUUUCUUUCCCUAUUCUCAUACCUGCCUCUAGCCAUUAGUCCCUCACUUGAUUCACUUUUUGAAUUAUCUUACUUGUCUUUCAACUUCUUGGUACCAAGAGCAUAUUUAACCUCUUCUAGGGAGAGUGUUUGCCUCCUAUACAACAAUGCAUCCACAAAGUGCUCGUAUGACUUUGGCAAAGAACUGAUUAACAGCAAAGCCUUGCUCUCAUCACUCAAUCCUUCAUCAAUAGUCUCCAGUUCAUCACAGACCUUAUUGAACUCAUUUGUAUGCUCAUCAAGUGAUGCUCCUUCAAUCAUCCUCAGUGAGAACAUCUUCUUUUUUAUGUAAAGCCUAUUUGCUAAAGAUUUUGUCAUAUACAGAUUCUAUAACUUGGCCCAUAAACCAAUAACAAUAUUUUCUUUAGCCACUUCUCUGAUUACAGAAUCACUAAGACUCAGAAUGAUUGUGCUUCUGGCUUUCUUGUCUAUCCCUGCUCCUACUCGUGGUAUAAUUGUAUAUCCACACCAUGGUGUUAAUAUCAUUUUACACAAAAUUUAAUAUGUAUUACCAUCGCAAGUUUUCAAAAUUCAUGCCAUGUAAUAUAUAGAGUAAGAAGUUUCUUAUUUUGAGGCAAUGAUUUGUUGUGAAAUUAACCUUAAUCACACCCCAAGAUCUAACUCAGACUCCAAGAUUUAAGAAUCAAACAUAAGCUAAUUGAAACAACCACCAGAUAAAUAAAAAAACACAGCUCAAAGAAUCAAGAAUACACAAAGACUUAAGUGGUUCAGCACCUUUGAGGGUGCCUACAUCCACUGGAGAAAACAACUCAAGGAGCAACUUUAUUAAGCUUCAAGUUUACAGAGAUGAUAGCUAGCAAUACAGAGAACACUCAGCAAAGCUUACUUCUUACUAUAGCUUCUUUAUCACUCUCUCCUCGAUGCAUCCAAACUACACCAGAACUAGCAUAUACUUAUCGUAUUAAAGUUGCAAAGAUGAGUGACAUGUCAUUUCAACAUGAUUAUCAUAUUUAUUGUUUUAAAUUUUUGAAGUUCUCUUCUUUCAAAUAAA
rnacentral:lncRNA from 1 species